rfam:Lingula anatina scaffold849, whole genome shotgun sequence.
UUGCUGUAUAUGAUGAUCUUAUAGUUCAUUCGAUUGGCUGUGAAGAUAAAAUUUCGCCCCUAUCUGAUACAGCAA